rnacentral:tRNA from 1 species
GGACCGUUAACUCAGCGGGUGAGAGUAUCCGGCUCAUAACCGGAAGGCCACAGGUUCGAAUCCUGUACGGUCCA